AGAGUUUGAUCAUGGCUCAGAGCGAACGUUGGCGGCGUGGAUUAGGCAUGCAAGUCCAGGGAGAAAGCGGGGCAACUCGCGAGUAAACCGGCGUAAGGGUGAGGAAUAUGUGAUCAAUCUACCUCCGAGAUGGGGACAACUGCUGGAAACGGCAGCUAAUACCCAGUACUCCAUGCGAGUGGCAUCACUUGCCUGGCAAACGGUGGGGAUCUUCGGACCUUCUGCUUGGAGAGGAGAUCACAUGCUAUCAGCUAGUUGGCGGGGUAACGGCCCACCAAGGCUGUGACGGCUAGGCGGUCUGAGAGGGCGACCGCCCACACUGGCACUGAGACACUGGCCAGACUCCUACGGGAGGCUGCAGUCGAGGAUCUUCUGCAAUGGGGGCAACCCUGACAGAGCGACGCCGCGUGAAGGAUGAAGGCCUUCGGGUUGUAAACUUCUUUAAGCCAUUAUGAAUGUCUGUCGGUGAAUAAUCGACAGGGUGACAAAGGUGGCAAAAUAAGCCCCAGCUAACUACGUGCCAGCAGCUGCGGUAAUACGUAGGGGGCAAACGUUGCUCGGAAUCACUGGGCAUAAAGCGCACGUAGGUGGCAUGGUAAGUCUGAUGUGAAAUCCCUCGGCUCAACCGAGGAACUGCGUUGGAUACUGCCGUGCUCGAGGACUGGAGGGGAGAUUGGAACUCCUGGUGUAGCGGUGAAAUGCGUAGAUAUCAGGAGGAACGCCGGUGGCGAAAGCGAAUCUCUGGACAGUUUCUGACACUGAGGUGCGAAAGCUAGGGGAGCAAACGGGAUUAGAUACCCCGGUAGUCCUAGCCGUAAACGAU
rnacentral:rRNA from 1 species